AGACAGAUCAUAAGGAGGUGGUAUUUGAACUGAGGUCUAAAGAAUGCAUUUAUUGGAUUGUGUGGGAAAGAAGAGGAGAUGGAUUUGAAAGGCCUUUUGGAAAGGAUUUGAAAGCCAUGGUGAGGGAGCAGACAGCGAAGUUGAUUUGCCCGAGGCCACACCGCUUGUAAGAAAUCCUAGAACCCAUGUCUCCUGAACUCAAAUUCAAUGACCUUCGAGACUCUGCCCUCUGGACAGCUUAUGCAGCCCGUCUCUGCCUGUCACAGGCUGCAAGAGUCCUGCUGGGAACACCAACCGGCAGUACUAGAAGGUGUUCAGCAAGAGGCUGGCCAUCACCUGUGGGGACCGCGGAGGAGGGGUGCUCUGCCUGGUUGGAAGUCUGCCUGUUCUGAGAGUCCUGAUUUCUCUGGAUGUGAGCUCUGUCCUCCGCGAUGGGACCUGUCAGCCUGCUCAGAGGAAAUAGCAAUAAAUUGAAUGCAACGGACACCUCUUCUGAUACUUGCUACUUAUCAAAACUUUCAAGCAUGAAAAUAUCUUUGUCUCCCCCUCUCGAAAUGGACAUAACCUGCAAAUAGAGCACCUCGAGAAAAGUACACCCAUAAAAACAAUAAAACAAUACCGCGUGUACUGGUUAAUAAUGCAGAUUUUGUAAUCAAAGAAAACACGAUAAUUUAAGAGAAACAUCAAAAGUGCUUUAUUCAAAGUAUUGUCUAUCGCUAGCUACACAUUUCCCCCAUCUUUCAGGUAAUUUGUGGAUACUGUCCCCACAGAACUUUUUCGGAAUAAGUGGUCAUCUGAAGGAGCAAUACAACAAAAUAGCAUAAUAUCAAAUCACAUAUAUAUCAACAUAUGUGUAGCUCCAUCUAUUGACAAACAUCCGCAUUAUUAACCAGUACACCUGGUAAAACAAUACUGCAAA